rnacentral:lncRNA from 1 species
AUCACUGUCUUGGCAUUUCCUCAUUAUUCUGAAACUUCUUUGUAUCCUUCACCAGAAGACCGUAAAAUGAUUAUAACAGCUGAAUUAUUUGAAAUGACUCUAAUAUCAGGAGCCAUGGCAAAACUUGCAAAUACAGGUACUUGUGGUAUUUGUUUGAUAAAUAAUUUACACACAAUAGUAAAUCAUUCAAUUCACCAAGGGUAGAUUAAUUAAUAUCAAAGGACCAAAAUAAUAAAGAACAAAUUCAUUUUUUUUUUUUUCA